ACCAGGUUGAAUUCCUUGGCCAGGGGAGGA
rnacentral:piRNA from 2 species